rnacentral:tRNA from 1 species
GGGCCUUUAGCUCAAUGGUUAGAGCAGAGGACUCAUAAUCCUUUGGUUGUCGGUUCGAGUCCGACAGGGCCCACCA